GCCAGACUCCUACGGGAGGCAGCAGUGGGGAAUAUUGCACAAUGGGGGAAACCCUGAUGCAGCGACGCCGCGUGAGUGAAGAAGUAUUUCGGUAUGUAAAGCUCUAUCAGCAGGGAAGAAAAUGACGGUACCUGAUUAAGAAGCCCCGGCUAACUACGUGCCAGCAGCCGCGGUAAUACGUAGGGGGCAAGCGUUAUCCGGAUUUACUGGGUGUAAAGGGAGCGUAGACGGUGAUGCAAGUCAGAAGUGAAAGCCCGGGGCUCAACUCCGGGACUGCUUUUGAAACUGUGUAACUGGAGUGCAGGAGAGGUAAGCGGAAUUCCUGGUGUAGCGGUGAAAUGCGUAGAUAUCAGGAGGAACACCAGUGGCGAAGGCGGCUUACUGGACUGUAACUGACGUUGAGGCUCGAAAGCGUGGGGAGCAAACAGGAUUAGAUACCCCCGUA
rnacentral:rRNA from 1 species